AUCAGUAUAACCAUUGGAUGCCAUAGCUUUUGUUGUGAUAUGAUUUUUAUAAUUUUGAGGACUCAUUGUUGAUCUUCGAGUCAUUUACAAUCUUCUUCAAUAUAUAUAAUUUCUUAGCUGGAAAUUAAAAAAAAAUAGAAAAACAAAAAAGUUCAACAAAUCUGAUCUCCAAUAGAUAUUAACUAUUGGCUAAUUAAAAGAUAAGAGGGAACAAACUACGCCAUUGCGCUCAUGUUAACCAAUGAUAGAAACGAAGCAAUAGAGAAUUGUUAUAACUGUAUUUUGUACGGUACAACUAAAAAGUAAAAGUUAAAAUUAAAAUAUAAUUCGACUUAAAAAUAUCAUUUCAAAUUAAAUUAGAUUCUUCCUAUAAAAAAUUGAAAAAUCGUAGUUUAAUAUUAAAUAAAUUUUUCAAUAAAAAUAAUGAUCAUUUUUAAGUCAAAUUAUUUUAUUAUCGAAUAAUAAUUUUGAUUUAUUGUUAAAAUUGGUUCUAUUAUAAAAUAUUGAUUCAUAAAUUAUUAUAAUUUUAAUCAAAAUAUUAUUAAAUAUUGCAUUCAAUUUAUAAAAAUAAAUAUGAAUAUAAAACUAUCAUCUUUAUUUUAAUUUUAAUUUAUUUUAACAACAUCGUGCUAAUACUGUUUAAAAAAUAUAUCUUAUAAAGAAUUUUCAAUAACUAUUCAAUAAUUUUUCUUCUAACUCAUUUGCUUUUCAAAUUUGCAUAAUAAUAUGAUAAUAGAAUGAUAAUCAUGCAAUUAUAAAAAUUUUUUAUAUUAAUUUUUUUUAUUUUUACAUAUGAUAUGACGUCAUAAAUCCAUGUUACUAAAAUCUGUAUAAAAAAAACUCAUAAAAUAUAUAUUACGAAUUAAUUUAAUUUAAAUUUUUAAGAUUAUAAAAUUCAGAUUUAUUAUGUUAUAUUAUAAAUUUUUGUAUAAGAUUUUUAUAUAAGCUAUUUUUCUGUAUAUAUUAUUUUAUAUAUAUUUCAUAAUUAUGUGUGUCUAUUGACAUAAUAUAUAAAGGUCAUAAAUGUCUUCGCAUUUUACGUAAUUAAAAGCAAAUAUUUAAUUACUAUUUUAUUAUUAUUUAUUAUAAAAGAACAAUUUAGUAUAAAAGAACAAAAUAAUAAAUUAUUGUAUUAAAUUGAAAUAAUAUUACAAUUAUAUAUAAUAAUUAUAUGAUUUAAAAAGUACUUUAUAAUUUUAUUUCAUAUAAUUUAACAAAUAAGUUUGUCAAUAAUUUUUCUUAUUAGCAAUUUAAUAAAUAACAUAUAAAAUAUGGAAUUAAUAAUAAAUAAAUUAAAAUAUGAUAUA